rnacentral:rRNA from 1 species
CUCAUCAGGGCAAGAAGAUUUUUAGGAUUGACAGAUUGAGAGUUCUUUCUUGAUUGGUCUAGUGGUGGUGCAUGGCCGUUCUUAGUUGGUGGAGUGAUUUGUCUGGUUAAUUCCGUUAACGAACGAGACCUUAACCUGCUAACUAGUACCCUGAUCCUCAAUCGGGGUUACUUCUUAGAGGGACUAUGUGAUGUAAUCACAUGGAAGUUUGAGGCAAUAACAGGUCUGUGAUGCCCUUAGAUGUCCUGAGCUGCACGCGCGCUACAAUGACACAUUCAACGAGUAUUUCCUGACCCGAAAGGGCUCGGGUAAUCUUUUUAGUGUGUGUCGUGAUAGGGAUAGAUCUUUGUAAUUAUGGAUCUUGAACGAGGAAUUCCUAGUAAGCGCACGUCAUCAGCGUGUGCUGAUUACGUCCCUGCAAAAUGUACACACC